rnacentral:rRNA from 1 species
UACGAAGGGUGCAAACGUUGCUCGGAAUCAUUGGGCGUAAAGCGCACGUAGGCGGCCCCCAAAAGUUGGAUGUGAAAUCCCUCGGCUCAACCGAGGACGUGCAUCCAAAACUGUGGGGCUUGAGUACUGAAGAGGAUCGCGGAAUUCCCGGUGUAGAGGUGAAAUUCGUAGAUAUCGGGAGGAACACCAGUGGCGAAGGCGGCGAUCUGGGCAGAUACUGACGCUGAGGUGCGAAAGCGUGGGGAGCAAACAGG